rnacentral:rRNA from 1 species
GAUGAACGCUGGCGGCGUGCCUAAUACAUGCAAGUCGAGCGAACGGACGAGAAGCUUGCUUCUCUGAUGUUAGCGGCGGACGGGUGAGUAACACGUGGAUAACCUACCUAUAAGACUGGUAUAACUUCGGGAAACCGGAGCUAAUACCGGAUAAUAUUUUGAACCGCAUGGUUCAAAAGUGAGAUACGGUCUUGCUGGCACGUCUAGAUGGAUCCGCGCUGCAUUAGCUAGUUGGUAAGGUAACGGCUUACCAAGGCAACGAUGCAUAGCCGACCUGUGAGGGUGAUCGGCCACAUUGGAAGUGAGACACGGUCCAGACUACUACGGUAGGCAGCAGUAGGCAAUCUUCGGCAAUGGGCGAAAGCCUGGCGGAGCGACGCCAAGUGAGUGAUAACGGCCUUCGGAUCGUAAAACCCUCUUACUAGGGAAGAACCUCUGUGUACGUAAACGUGCACAUAUUGACGGUAAUUAAUAAGAAAGCAACGGCUAACUACGUG